UCUCCAUCUAUUAAAGUUCCACAUUGUGUGGUGACAUGGUCCUUGGGCAAUAUAUAUGUGUAUGGGCAAUCCUCCACUCUUGAGCUAGCUUUAUGGCGUGAGUCAGGCUCAUCACUAUUCUCCUUCACUCUCAUAUCUCAUCUCUCAUUUCUCCCAUUUAUGUGACUCUGUCCCACCGCGUCUCCUCCUAGUCUCACCACCACCGCGUCUCCUCUUCUCACCACCACCGCGUCUCCUCCUCUUCUCAUUACCACCGCGGUCGCCUUCCCACCCCCACCACGGUGGUCGUGAGCAGAGAUGCUGGUCUGUGGUCGUGCGCAGCCGAGAGCAGUGUCGCCGGAAGUGGACCCAUCAGAGACUCCACCGGUGAGGAUCAGAAGAAUAAAAAUCGGUGCUUCUUUUGUUCUUAGUAGAUACAGGGGGUGAAGGAAGAUGAAGAA